rnacentral:lncRNA from 1 species
CCAGCCCUCACCUUUCUCCCAUGCUGGGUGCUUCCUGCCCUCGAAUAUCAGACUGCAAGUUCUUCAGCUUUUGGACUCUUGGACUAACACCACUGGUUUGCCAGGGGCUCUCGAGCCUUCAGCCACGGCUGAAGGCUGCACUGUCAGCUUCCCUACUUUUGAGGUAUGGACUCAGACUGAUCCACUACCGGCUUCCUUGCUCCUCAACAUGCAGAUGGUCUAUCAUGGGACUUUACUUCGUGAUCAUAUGACAAUUUGCUACACCAACAAUAG